rnacentral:misc_RNA from 1 species
GAUGAAGAACGUAGCGAAAUGCGAUAAGUAAUGUGAAUUGCAGAAUCCAGUGAAUCAUCGAAUCUUUGAACGCACAUUGCGCCCGCCAGCAUUCUGGCGGGCAUGCCUGUUCGAGCGUCAUUUCAACCCUCGACCUCCCCUUGGGGAGGUCGGCGUUGGGGACCGGCAGCACACCGCCGGCCCUGAAAUGGAGUGGCGGCCCGUCUGCGGCGACCUCUGCGUAGUAAUACAGCUCGCACCGGAACCCCGACGCGGCCACGCCGUAAAACACCGAACUUCUGAACGUUGACCUCGAAUCAGGUAGGACUACCCGCUGAACUUAAGCAUAUCAAUAAGCGGAGGA